AGAGUAAGCGAGAUGGUUGCGGGCUGGUUUUCCAGUCCGAGGAAAGUCCGGGCUUCCGAAAGACCAAACUUGCUGGCUAAUCACCAGUGCGAGCGAUCGUGAGGAUAGUGCCACAGAAACAUACCGCCAAGCUAGUCUGAGCUGAAAGUGCUGGGAACUGAGAACCACUCAGCACUCAGCACUAACACUAUUUUGGUAAGGGUGCAAAGGUGCGGUAAGAGCGCACCAGCAGCAUCGAGAGGUGCUGGCUCGGUAAACCCCGGUUGGAAGCAAGGCUGAAGGAGCAACGGUUGGUCUUUUACCCGCUCCGGUAGGAGGAAACUUCUGCGAGUCCGCUGGAGGUGUCUGGCAACAGCCAUCCUAGACAGAUAACCAUCCCCCAGUUGCACGCAAUUGGGAGAACAGAACCCGGCUUAUGUCUUGCUCUUCCC
rnacentral:RNase_P_RNA from 1 species